rnacentral:rRNA from 1 species
AGGUUUCCGUAGGUGACCUGCGGAGGAUCAUUACUGAGUGAGGGCCCUCUGGGUCCAACCUCCCACCCGUGUUUAUUGUACCUUGUUGCUUCGGUGCGCCCGCCUCACGGCCGCCGGGGGGCUUCUGCCCCCGGGUCCGCGCGCACCGGAGACACUAUUGAACUCUGUCUGAAGAUUGCAGUCUGAGCAUAAACUAAAUAAGUUAAAACUUUCAACAACGGAUCUCUUGGUUCCGGCAUCGAUGAAGAACGCAGCGAAAUGCGAUAACUAAUGUGAAUUGCAGAAUUCAGUGAAUCAUCGAGUCUUUGAACGCACAUUGCGCCCCCUGGUAUUCCGGGGGGCAUGCCUGUCCGAGCGUCAUUGCUGCCCUCAAGCACGGCUUGUGUGUUGGGCUCCGUCCCCCCGGGGACGGGUCCGAAAGGCAGCGGCGGCACCGAGUCCGGUCCUCGAGCGUAUGGGGCUUUGUCACCCGCUCUGUAGGCCCGGCCGGCGCCAGCCGACACCAAUCAUCCUUUUUCAGGUGACCUCGGAUCAGGAGGAA